UACGUAGGGUGCAAGCGUUGUCCGGAAUUAUUGGGCGUAAAGAGCUCGUAGGCGGUCUGUCGCGUCUGCUGUGAAAACUCAGGGCUUAACCCUGAGCUUGCAGUGGGUACGGGCAGACUAGAGUGCGGUAGGGGAGACUGGAAUUCCUGGUGUAGCGGUGAAAUGCGUAGAUAUCUGGAGGAACACCGGUGGCGAAGGCGGCGUCCUGGACCAACACUGACACUGAGGAGCGAAAGCCAGGGGAGCAAACGGG
rnacentral:rRNA from 1 species